AGCUCUUUUGAACUGUGUCCCUCAUUGUGGUACAGACAGCACGGUGGAAGAUGAAAGUGUGAUUUAUUCUACAAUUGACUCCAGGAGGCCUGACACCACAAGAAGCAAACCCUUGAAAUAUGAUGACUGCGUGUACAGUGAAAUAAAAUUUCAGAGGAAACGUGACAUACAGUAAA